GGGUUGUGAGGUUAAGCGACUAAGCGUACACGGUGGAUGCCCUGGCAGUCAGAGGCGAUGAAGGACGUGCUAAUCUGCGAUAAGCGCCGGUAAGGUGAUAUGAACCGUUAUAACCGGCGAUUUCCGAAUGGGGAAACCCAGUGUGACUCGUCACACUAUCAUUAACUGAAUCCAUAGGUUAAUGAGGCGAACCGGGGGAACUGAAACAUCUAAGUACCCCGAGGAAAAGAAAUCAACCGAGAUUCCCCCAGUAGCGGCGAGCGAACGGGGAGGAGCCCAGAGCCUGAAUCAGCAUGUGUGUUAGUGGAAGCGUCUGGAAAGGCGCGCGAUACAGGGUGACAGCCCCGUACACAAAAGCGCAUGUGCUGUGAGCUCGAUGAGUAGGGCGGGACACGUGGUAUCCUGUCUGAAUAUGGGGGGACCAUCCUCCAAGGCUAAAUACUCCUGACUGACCGAUAGUGAACCAGUACCGUGAGGGAAAGGCGAAAAGAACCCCGGCGAGGGGAGUGAAAAAGAACCUGAAACCGUGUACGUACAAGCAGUGGGAGCCCCACCACUAAGCCAGUGGUGAACUCCACAUACGCAUCCUUUGCUGAGGAUACGGUUAACGGAGCGAAAGCGACGUUCAACCGCAAAAGAAGCAGAGGGGGCUUAGUGGUGGGGUGACUGCGUACCUUUUGUAUAAUGGGUCAGCGACUUAUAUUCUGUAGCAAGGUUAACCGAAUAGGGGAGCCGGAGGGAAACCGAGUCUUAAU
rnacentral:rRNA from 1 species